rnacentral:rRNA from 1 species
GAUGAACGCUGGCGGCGUGCCUAAUACAUGCAAGUCGAGCGAACAGACGAGGAGCUUGCUCCUCUGACGUUAGCGGCGGACGGGUGAGUAACACGUGGAUAACCUACCUAUAAGACUGGGAUAACUUCGGGAAACCGGAGCUAAUACCGGAUAAUAUAUUGAACCGCAUGGUUCAAUAGUGAAAGACGGUUUUGCUGUCACUUAUAGAUGGAUCCUCGCCGCAUUAGCUAGUUGGUAAGGUAACGGCUUACCAAGGCAACGAUGCGUAGCCGACCUGAGAGGGAGAUCGGCCCCACUGGAACUGAGACACGGUCCAGACUCCUACGGGAGGCAGCAGUAGGGAAUCUUCCGCAAUGGGCGAAAGCUUGACGGAGCAACGCCGCGUGAGUGAUGAAGGUCUUCGGAUCGUAAAACUCUGUUAUUAGGGAAGAACAAAUGUGUAAGUAACUAUGCACGUCUUGACGGUACCUAAUCAGAAAGCCACGGCUAACUACGUG